rnacentral:rRNA from 1 species
UACGUAGGGUGCGAGCGUUUAAUCGGAAUUACUGGGCGUAAAGCGUGCGCAGGCGGUUUGCUAAGACCGAUGUGAAAUCCCCGGGCUUAACCUGGGAACUGCAUUGGUGACUGGCAGGCUAGAGUAUGGCAGAGGGGGGUAGAAUUCCACGUGUAGCAGUGAAAUGCGUAGAGAUGUGGAGGAAUACCGAUGGCGAAGGCAGCCCCCUGGGCCAAUACUGACGCUCAUGCACGAAAGCGUAGGGGAGCGAAACAGG